rnacentral:rRNA from 1 species
AUGUCCGUGCGGCGGGCCGUCGGUUUCCUCCUCACACGGAGGUUCUCGCCGCGGGUGAUCCCAAGGACGACGGCUCCUGCACGCUCUUUCCACUCCUUGAAGGAAUUCCCCAACGGCGUUGGCCUUCGUGGCGCUGCUGGUGUGGCCGCGGUUGCGUGUGCUGGUGUUGGAGCCUGGGCUGCUCAGUAUUUCAGGAAAGGCCCAGAUGACGAUGAGUCAGCUGCUCGCAAGGAAGAGCAGGACAUGAAGGCGACGUUCGAGGAUUGGAUGAAGGAAGAGGACAUGACGGCGAGGUUCGAGAAUUGGAUGAAGGAGUACAACAAGACAUACCGCGACCAGGAAGAGAAGGCUAUGCGGUUCCAUGUGUUCAAGGAUACGGUCAAGUCGAUUGAAUCGCUGCCCCCAUCUACCCACAAGAAGUUGCUUCCACCUAACGGUUUUGCAGACUUAACAAGCAAGGAGCUCCCGUGCAUCCAGCCCUGUAUCGAUGAUGAUUUAGAUGACCCAGACAGCAAGGAGUACCUCUAG